rnacentral:rRNA from 1 species
AACGAACGCUGGCGGCAGGCCUAACACAUGCAAGUCGAGCGGGGGAGCAAUCCCUAGCGGCGGACGGGUUAGUAACGCGUGGGAACAUACCCUUUGGUACGGAAUAGCCUCGGGAAACUGAGAGUAAUACCGUAUGUGCCCUUCGGGGAAGAUUUAUCGCCAAAGGAUUGGCCCGCGUUGGAUUAGGUAGUUGGUGGGGUAAUGGCCUACCAAGCCUACGAUCCAUAGCUGGUUUGAGAGGAUGAUCAGCAACACUGGGACUGAGACACGGCCCAGACUCCUACGGGAGGCAGCAGUGGGGAAUCUUAGACAAUGGGCGCAAGCCUGAUCUAGCCAUGCCGCGUGAGCGAUGAAGGCCUUAGGGUUGUAAAGCUCUUUCAGAUGGGAAGAUAAUGACGGUACCAUCAGAAGAAGCCCCGGCUAACUCCGUGCCAGCAGCCGCGGUAAU